rnacentral:rRNA from 1 species
UACGUAGGGUGCAAGCGUUGUCCGGAAUUAUUGGGCGUAAAGAGCGUGUAGGCGGCCCGGUAAGUCCGCUGUGAAAGUCCAGGGCUCAACCCUGGAAUGCCGGUGGAAACUGUCGGGCUAGAGUCCGGAAGAGGCGAGUGGAAUUCCUGGUGUAGCGGUGAAAUGCGCAGGUAUCAGGAGGAACACCAAUGGCGAAGGCAGCUCGCUGGGACGGUACUGACGCUGAGACGCGAAAGCGUGGGGAGCGAACAGG